UUAGAUUUCAAGUCUAUAUUUUGUGUCCGUGACAGUUUGUCAAGACUACACUAACUUGAGAUAUCAGAGCUAGUUCUUUCUUAGUAGAGUGUGGAUUACCCCUCUACUUGAAGGUAUACUAGCAUUUUUUAGAGGUUGCGGAUUACCCUCCUCUAAACUAAUACUUCUUCUGUUACAAUAUUGGAGUCUUAUUCUUCUUGGAGAGAGUGGAUUACCCCUCUUCUUGAAAUUCUUAAGGC
rnacentral:lncRNA from 1 species